rnacentral:misc_RNA from 1 species
GAUGAAGAACGUAGCGAAAUGCGAUACUUGGUGUGAAUUGCAGAAUCCCGUGAACCAUCGAGUCUUUGAACGCAAGUUGCGCCCGAAGCCACUAGGCCGAGGGCACGCCUGUCUGGGCGUCACACGCCGUUGCCCCCCCAUCUACUCCUUCGGGAUUGCGGGGGGGCGGAUGAUGGCCUCCCGUGCGCCUAGCCGCGCGGUUGGCAUAAAUACCAAGUCCUCGGCGACGCACGCCACGACAAUCGGUGGUUGCGAAACCUCGGUUGCCCGUCGUGUGCGUUCGUCGCGCAUCGAGGGCUCGAAAAAAUGCUCGGCUCCGGCUGGGCUUUCAAAGCGACCCCAGGUCAGGCGGGGUUACCCGCUGAAUUUAAGCAUAUCAAUAAGCGGAGGA